GAACUUGUGAACUGCAAGAUCAUGACCUGAGCCGAAGAUCAGAUGCUUAACCAACUGAGCCACCCAGCCACCCCUGUCAAGGCUUCCUAACGUAUGGGACAUAAGGAAGUGGUGUGGAGUGCAUCCUUGGGGGUGUUCCAGAAGAGGACACCAAAGGCAGAAAGAAGCUCCUUCAGCUCUUGCUUGUUUUGUUAAUGGGUAUUCACUGACAUGUAAUACUCUAUCAUCCAUAAAAUGCAUCCAUAGACAUUUUCCAUUUGACUUCCAAGCAAUCCUACUGAGGAUGAAAAGAAUCAACUGAUGACAACAAAUGUGUGGCUCAAACAGAUGACACUGUUUAUGGACAGCAAGAGUGGACUUCUGUUUGAAGGCUUGCCCACAUAUGUCGCAUUCAAAGGGGUCCUCUGAUGUGUGAAUUCUAUGAUGUCGAACAAAAUUUGCCUGACGUCUGAAGACUCUUCCACAUUCACUGCAUUUGUAAGAUUUUGCGUUUGGAGGGAUUUGCUUAUGCUGCAAAAACAGUGAUCUCUGACUGAAAGGCUUUCCAUACUCAUCACACUGGCCACGCCUCCUCCCUGUUUGAGCAUUCUGACCUUGAAUAAGGUGAAGGUUUUGAAGGAAGUUCUUACUGCAUUCAUCACCAAUAGUGGGAAAGGCAAGUCUGUAAAUGUCCACCAAUUCGUUACAUUUACGUAACUUUUCUGAAGAUCCCUUGGCUGUUUGCUGCUUUACUGCCGAUGUCUUACACGACUCUAAAUCUUUAAAGAUCUUCUGCCCUGGAGUUGGCUUUUUCAUCUUCCAUCUGGCUUCAGAACCUAACCAAAUAAAAAGAAGACAUAGAAAUGACCUGCCCACCACAUCACAGAAGGAAAAAAAAGAAGCCACCUGUGUGUGUGGAAGACACUCAAGUGAAACGAAGUGCUUGCUUAGUUAUAUUGUCCUGCUAAAGAGGCCCAAAUUCUGAUUUCCACAGGACUCACGGCUUUGACACCAGAAAGAGUUCUCAAAAUAAACUGAACGACUGAAAAAUGCACAAGUGUGUGUCAGAGAAGUGAGAACUGAGUAAAUAUAUCACUACUAUUGGAAAAAUAAAACUCUCGGUACUCAGUGAAGUCACAUAAA